AUGAACAUCAGGAAAAAUAGAAACCCUUGUAAUCCCUAACAUCUUCUUCAAGCUGGAGUUAUGCGACUCAUCUCUUUCCUUCUUAUUUCCGUCUAUGUUCACAAUCUGCAAUGCGCGACAUCCUCAUUCAAAGAGAACAUAUCUUCGUUUCAUUCUUUCUCUUCCUCCUUCUUUUUUCCACCAUAAAAUCUAUCUCCACCUUUUCAAAGGCAUUCUACAUCACAGGAUGGGAGUAGCUCAAUUGAUUUAGAACUGACAACAUUAUCAAGUGCCGAUCAUAUCUAAAUGACUCGAAGCUAUGCAGACUUUCAAGGCUCUACAUUGUUCAAGAAAUAAUCAAAGAAAUGCCUAAAAAUAGACCCAUUGAUACUAAAGGGAAGAAAAGGUUUGAAGAUUUUGAAUAAUUUUACCACUGCAUUGCAUUCUCUACAACCACUCAAAGUUCCUGGUUUCAAGUUAGACUUAAAAUUGUUUAAUGAUAAUUUUAGCAUUGGAGAAGUUCUUGUUUGUAAGCUUUAAACUAUUUGUGUGAUUUAUAAUGGAAAUGCUGGUAUGACUGGAUGUAUUAAAAUUUCUUUUUGUGGAAGAUGUUAGUUCAUUAGUUGCAAAGUAAAUUAAUUAUUCUGUUACCACACAUGUUGUAUAUAAAUUUAUUAUGUAUCUUUGUAAUGUAUCAAAGUGUUAGUUAAUUAAUUUCAAAGCCAGUUAAUUAUUCUGAUAGUUAGUUUGCAUUUGGUUAGCACACAUUAAAUUGAUUUUCAUUCAACAUCUUUCAUAUUUUCUACCUCCAAAGGUUUCACAUUCAAUAGAUUUCUAACAGUUCAUAGAUGAAGUUGUUCUUACUACGAAUACUUUUGUGCUAUAUAAGUGAAAAUACUGCACUAGUUUUUUAUUAGACUGGGCUCAUCAAUCAUCAUCCUCUUGGGAUGAGAUUCAUGGCUUUACAUUUGUUGAGUUCAUAACUAGUACCUUGACUCUCUCAAAUAAUUGAUUUAGCCAAUACUGCUUAUAUAUAUAUAUAUAUAUAUGUCAUUUAAGCAGGGAUUGUAUUUGUACUGUCAUACUUACUAGCUGACAUAUGCUGAUAUUGAUUUUUAUAUUUUUUUUUUCAAAUUUUGAAGGCUUUGUUGAAAAUGGGAAUUCGUGGUGUCACUGUAUCUGAUGCCAGGGGGUUUGGUGCUCAGGGUGGUUCAAAAGAGAGGCAGGGAGGCUGAAACAUUAUAAAGGAUUCAAGGAGGGGAAUAGACAUUGAACGUGUGAAUAUAGUUAUAAACUAUGAUAUGCCUGACGGUGCAGACACAUACUUGCACAGGGUUGGCCGGGCUGGAAGGUUUGGCACCAAAGGUCUUGCAAUUAUAUUUGUUUCAUGUUCAACUGAUGUGGAUGUUCUCAACAAUGUAUGGCAAUUGACUCUUUUUUGACACUAAUUUACAUUGUAUAGUUUUAGUAGAAAGCAGCCAUAGCAGUGGCAUGGUUCAGUGUAAAUCACAUAGGAUGUCAUAUGAGCAAUGUGGUGUAUUGAUAGUGAUGCUGUGAUUUAUGGUUGUUCUUUAUCAAUAUUGUUUUGGAGUUUCUGUCUACAGUUUGUUUCAUUGUUAAAUGAAGUAAUAGCCUAUUGUCUUUGCAUCUCCAGCAUUA